GCCCGCAUAGCGCAAUGGUAGCGCGCUAGACUUCUAAGUUUCUUGACAAGAGUAGUUGUAUCUUGAGGCUGUGGGUUCGAGUCCCACUGUGGGUG